GCCGAAAGGCGUAGUCGAUGGGAAACAGGUUAAUAUUCCUGUACUUGGUGUUACUGCGAAGGGGGGACGGAGAAGGCUAUGUUGGCCGGGCGACGGUUGUCCCGGUUUAAGCGUGUAGGCUGGUUUUCCAGGCAAAUCCGGAAAAUCAAGGCUGAGGCGUGAUGACGAGGCACUACGGUGCUGAAGCAACAAAUGCCCUGCUUCCAGGAAAAGCCUCUAAGCAUCAGGUAACAUCAAAUCGUACCCCAAACCGACACAGGUGGUCAGGUAGAGAAUACCAAGGCGCUUGAGAGAACUCGGGUGAAGGAACUAGGCAAAAUGGUGCCGUAACUUCGGGAGAAGGCACGCUGAUAUGUAGGUGAAGUCCCUCGCGGAUGGAGCUGAAAUCAGUCGAAGAUACCAGCUGGCUGCAACUGUUUAUUAAAAACACAGCACUGUGCAAACACGAAAGUGGACGUAUACGGUGUGACGCCUGCCCGGUGC
rnacentral:rRNA from 1 species